GAUGAACGCUGGCGGCGUGCCUAAUACAUGCAAGUCGAGCGAACGGACGAGAAGCUUGCUUCUCUGAUGUUAGCGGCGGACGGGUGAGUAACACGUGGAUAACCUACCUAUAAGACUGGGAUAACUUCGGGAAACCGGAGCUAAUACCGGAUGAUAUUUUGAACCGCAUGGUUCAAAAGUGAAAGACGGUCUUGCUGUCACUUAUAGAUGGAUCCGCGCUGCAUUAGCUAGUUGGUAGGGUAACGGAUUACCAAGGCAACGAUGCAUAGCCGACCUGAGAGGGUGAUCGGCCACACUGGAACUGAGACACGGUCCAGACUCCUACGGGAGGCAGCAGUAGGGAAUCUUCCGCAAUGGGCGAAAGCCUGACGGAGCAACGCCGCGUGAGUGAUGAAGGUCUUCGGAUCGUAAAACUCUGUUAUUAGGGAAGAACAUAUGUGUAAGUAACUGUGCACAUCUUGACGGUACCUAAUCAGAAAGCCACGGCUAACUACGUG
rnacentral:rRNA from 1 species